AGAGUUUGAUUCUGGCUCAGAACGAACGCUGGCGGCAGGCUUAACACAUGCAAGUCGAACGAUAUAGUGGCAGACGGGGGAGUAACGCGUGGGAACGUGCCUUUCACUAGGGAAUAGCUUUUGGAAACGAAAGGUAAUACCUUAUACGCCCUUAGGGGGAAAGAUUUAUCGGUGUAAGAUCGGCCCGCGUUAGAUUAGCUAGUUGGUGAGGUAAUGGCUCACCAAGGCUACGAUCUAUAGCUGGUCUGAGAGGACGACCAGCCACACUGGGACUGAGACACGGCCCAGACUCCUACGGGAGGCAGCAGUGGGGAAUAUUGCACAAUGGGCGCAAGCCUGAUGCAGCCAUGCCGCGUGAAUGAUGAAGGCCUUAGGGUUGUAAAAUUCUUUCGCUAGGGAGGAAGGCCAGGUAGUUAAUAUCUGAUUGGAUUGACGUUACCUGCAGAAGAAGCACCGGCUAACUCCGUGCCAGCAGCCGCGGUAAUACGGAGGGUGCAAGCGUUAAUCGGAAUUACUGGGCGUAAAGCGCGCGUAGGCGGUAUUGUAAGUGGGAUGUGAAAGCCCCGGGCUCAACCUGGGAACUGCAUUCCAAACUGCAAAACUAGAGUAUGGUAGAGGAUAGUGGAAUUUCAGGUGUAGCGGUGAAAUGCGUAGAGAUCUGAAGGAACACCAGUGGCGAAGGCGGCCACCUGGACAAAGACUGACACUGAGGCGCGAAGGCGUGGGGAGCAAACGGGAUUAGAUACCCCGGUAGUCCACGCCGUAAACGAUGUCAACUAGCCGUUGGGAGGAUUUGCCUCUUGGUGGCGCAGCUAACGCGGUAAGUUGACCGCCUGGGGAGUACGGCCGCAAGGUUAAAACUCAAAUGAAUUGACGGGGGCCCGCACAAGCGGUCGAGCAUGUGGUAUAAUUCGAUGCAACGCGAAAAACCUUACCUACUCUUGACAUCCCGUGAACUUUCCAGAGAUGGAUUGGUGCCUUCGGGAACACGGUGACAGGUGCUGCAUGGCUGUCGUCAGCUCGUGUCGUGAGAUGUUGGGUUAAGUCCCAUAACGAGCGCAACCCUUGUCCUUAGUUGCCAGCGCGUAAUGGCGGGGACUCUAAGGAGACUGCCGGUGAUAAACCGGAGGAAGGUGGGGAUGACGUCAAGUCCUCAUGGCCCUUAUGUCCAGGGCUACACACGUGCUACAAUGGCCGGUACAAAGGGACGCAAGACCGCGAGGUGGAGCUAAUCCCAGAAAGCCGGUCUCAGUUCGGAUUGGAGUCUGCAACUCGACUCCAUGAAGCUGGAAUCGCUAGUAAUCGCGUAUCAGCAUGACGCGGUGAAUACGUUCCCGGGCCUUGUACACACCGCCCGUCACACCAUGGGAGUCUAUUGUACCGGAAACCGGUGGGCUAACCUUCGAAGGGGAGCAGCCGUCCAUGGUAUGAAUGGUAACUGGGGUGAAGUCGUAACAAGGUAACC
rnacentral:rRNA from 1 species